rnacentral:rRNA from 1 species
ACUCCUACGGGAGGCAGCAGUCGAGGAUCUUCGGCAAUGGGCGCAAGCCUGACCGGGCGACGCCGCGUGUGCGAUGAAGGCCUUCGGGUUGUAAAGCACUGUCGAGGGGGAGGAAAGCCGCAAGGUCUGACCUAUCCCUGGAGGAAGCACGGGCUAAGUUCGUGCCAGCAGCCGCGGUAAU